GGCGGGGUAGUUUAACGUGGAAGAACGCCCGCUUGCCAGGCAGGAGAUAUAAGUUCGAGGCUUAUCGUCGCCA
rnacentral:tRNA from 1 species